rnacentral:rRNA from 1 species
AUGUAAUUGAUGUAACGCAUCUAAUAUCUAAGUCCAAC